rnacentral:rRNA from 1 species
GACGAACGCUGGCGGCGUGCUUAACACAUGCAAGUCGAACGGAAAGGCCCUGCUUUUGUGGGGUGCUCGAGUGGCGAACGGGUGAGUAACACGUGAGUAACCUGCCCUUGACUUUGGGAUAACUUCAGGAAACUGGGGCUAAUACCGGAUAGGAGCUCCUGCUGCAUGGUGGGGGUUGGAAAGUUUCGGCGGUUGGGGAUGGACUCGCGGCUUAUCAGCUUGUUGGUGGGGUAGUGGCUUACCAAGGCUUUGACGGGUAGCCGGCCUGAGAGGGUGACCGGCCACAUUGGGACUGAGGUACGGCCCAGACUCCUACGGGAGGCAGCGGUGGGGAAUAUUGCACAAUGGGCGGAAGCCUGAGGCAGCAACGCCGCGUGCGGGAUGACGGCCUUCGGGUUGUAAACCGCUUUCGCCUGUGACGAAGCGUGAGUGACGGUAAUGGGUAAAGAAGCACCGGCUAACUACGUG